rnacentral:rRNA from 1 species
CCUACGGGUGGCAGCAGUAGGGAAUAUUGCUCAAUGGGGGAAACCCUGAAGCAGCAACGCCGCGUGGAGGAUGAAGGUUUUCGGAUUGUAAACUCCUUUUGUUAGAGAAGAUAAUGACGGUAUCUAACGAAUAAGGACCGGCUAACUCCGGGCCAGCAGCCGCGGUAAUACGGAGGGUGCAAGCGUUACUCGGAAUCACUGGGCGUAAAGAGCGAGUAGGCGGGAUAGCAAGUCAGAUGUGAAAUCCUAUGGCUUAACCAUAGAACUGCAUUUGAAACUGUUAUUCUAGAGUAGGGGAAAGUAAGGUGUAUGUGUGGGUGUGCGGUGACAUUCCGUAGAGUUCAACAGGAAUACGCAU